rnacentral:misc_RNA from 1 species
UCUCCGUUGGUGAACCAGCGGAGGGAUCAUUACCGAGUUUACAACUCCCAAACCCAAUGUGAACCAUACCAAACUGUUGCCUCGGCGGGGUCACGCCCCGGGUGCGUCGCAGCCCCGGAACCAGGCGCCCGCCGGAGGGACCAACCAAACUCUUUCUGUAGUCCCCUCGCGGACGAUAUUUUUACAGCUCUGAGCAAAAUUUCAAAAUGAAACAAAACUUUCAACAACGGAUCUCUUGGUUCUG